GGGCGCAAUCGCCUGCACGUCUAACUGUCGAUACUCUUAAUCAGCGGGUCCUAGGUUCGAGUCCUAGUGCGCCCACCA
rnacentral:tRNA from 1 species